rnacentral:rRNA from 1 species
UCCUGGCUCAGGACGAACGCUGGCGGCGUGCUUAACACAUGCAAGUCGAACGGAAAGGCCCUUCGGGGUACUCGAGUGGCGAACGGGUGAGUAACACGUGGGUGAUCUGCCCUGCACUUUGGGAUAAGCCUGGGAAACUGGGUCUAAUACCGAAUAUGACCACGCUCUUCAUGGGGUGUGGUGGAAAGCUUUUGCGGUGUGGGAUGGGCCCGCGGCCUAUCAGCUUGUUGGUGGGGUAAUGGCCUACCAAGGCGACGACGGGUAGCCGGCCUGAGAGGGUGACCGGCCACACUGGGACUGAGAUACGGCCCAGACUCCUACGGGAGGCAG